rnacentral:rRNA from 1 species
UACCAGACUCCUACGGGAGGCAGCAGUGAGGAAUAUUGGUCAAUGGGCUUACGCCUGAACCAGCCAAGUCGCGUGAGGGAAGACUGCCCUAUGGGUUGUAAAAUUCUUUUCUCAGGGACGAAGAAAGUGACGGUACCUGAGGAAUAAGCCACGGCUAACUACGUGCCAGCAGCCGCGGUAAUACGUAGGUGGAAAGCGUUAUCCGGAUUUACUGGGUGUAAAGGGCGUGUAGGCGGGACUGCAAGUCAGAUGUGAAAACCAUGGGCUCAACCUGUGGCCUGCAUUUGAAACUGUAGUUCUUGAGUACUGGAGAGGCAGACGGAAUUCCUAGUGUAGCGGUGAAAUGCGUAGAUAUUAGGAGGAACACCAGUGGCGAAGGCGGUCUGCUGGACAGCAACUGACGCUGAGGCGCGAAAGCGUGGGGCGCAAACAGGAUUAGAUGCCCUCGUAA